AUGGAUGUACACCGGGAGGUGGAGGUGGUGGAGUCGUGCAUGGUGACGCCCAGCAAGGACACGCCUAGCCAUGGCCUCUGGCUCUCACCACUCGACCUCAACAUGGUCAAUAGAGGCCACACCCCUACCGUCUACUUCUACAGCUCCAGCUCCGGCGUCGUCGACGACUUCUUCGACGUGACCAGGCUGAAGGUGGCGUUGGCCAAGGCUCUCGUGGCCUUCUACCCUCUCGCCGGCCGCCUCAGCGUGGACGGCGACGGUCGGGCGGAGAUCAACUGCGCCGGCCAGGGCGUGCUCUUCGUCGUCGCACGCUCGGACCUCACCGUCAACAGCUUCGUCGACUUCCAGCCGUCUCCCGAGCUGAGGAGGCUCUUUGUCCCCCGCGUCGAGGACCCGCCGUCCAUCAUGUGCGCCAUUCAGGUGACCUUCAUGAGAUGCGGCGGGGUGACCAUGGGGACGGCGCUGCACCACACCGCCAUCGACGCUGUAAGCGCAGCCCACUUCUUCCAGACGUGGUCCGCCUUCUCCAGAGACGGUGAUGGAGCCAGCGGGGUGGCGUUCGAGCUCCCGUGCCACGACCGCACCCUCCUCCGCGCGCGCUCACCGCCCGUCGUCCACCCCGACGCUCUCACCGUGCUAUGCCCGAAGCUAAGCCAAUCCGAGCGGUCGGCCCCCGCGGUCAACGAGAUCUUCCUCGUCUCGAGCGACCAGGUGGCCGCUCUGAAGCGCGCCUGCGCCGGCAGCGGCGAUGGUGGCGGUGGCCGCGUGAGCACGUUCUGCGCGGUGGGCGCCCACGUGUGGCGGUCCAUGUGCGCCGCCCGCCGGCUGCCGCCGGACGCCACGACUCGGCUCACCUUCCCGGCAAAUAUCCGGCGCGCCCUGAGGCCGCCUCUGCCGGCGCGCUACUUCGGGAACGGGACCAUCAGCCUGGGCACCGCCGGCAAGGUGCGUGACAUCGGGUCGGAAGAGCUGGGCUCCGUCGCCGCGCGGAUCAGUGGCGCCGUCCGCCGGAUGGACGACGAGCUGGUGCGUUCCGCGAUUGACUACCUGGAGAUGAACGGCGGCCGGCAGCCGGGCCGUGGCGCCCUGCCGGAGACAGAGCUGAGGGUGGUGAGCUGGCUGGGCAUGCCGAUGUACGACGCGGAUUUCGGGUGGGGGAAGCCGCUCGCGAUGCACCGCGCGGUGCAGCAGCGUGGCGGGAGCGUCUGCCUCAUGGACGGCCCCAGCGGCGGCGUGCGCAUCCUCGUGUCUGCAGAGGCUGCUGUUCUCGUCGACUUCCGGCGCCUGUUGUAUGCCAUCUUCUAG
rnacentral:rRNA from 1 species